GAGUUUUUUAAGUUAGCAUAUAUGGAUAAAUAUUAAAAGUAUCCGCAGCGAUAUGCAAUUUUGAAGUUAAAAUGGAAGGAAGGAACUCGGCAAAUCUUAGCUUCGCCUGUUUAUCAAAAACAUGGCUCUCUGUUACUUUAAUAUAGGGAGUCGGACCUGCCCAGUGAAAUUUUUUAACGGCCGCGGUACCCUGACCGUGCAAAGGUAGCAUAAUCAUUUGCCUUAUAAUUGAAGGCUUGUAUGAAUGGUUUGACGGGAGCAUUGCUGUCUCCCUCCCAGUAGAUAGAACUUGACCUUUAGGUGAAGAGGCCUAAAUAUAAUUGAAAGACAAGAAGACCCUGUCGAGCUUUAAAAUUAGAUUAGAGGGAAAUAUAAAAUAGCCUAAAUUUAUAGCUAAUUGGUUUUUUGGUUGGGGCGACCGAGGAACAGCAAGAGCUUCCUUUAUCUAAGCUGACUUAUAGGUAUUGAUCCAGCCUAAAGCUGAUUAAAAAAAUUAGUUACCGCAGGGAUAACAGCAUAAUCUCUCUUAAGAGACCAAAUCGAAAGAGGGGGUUGUGACCUCGAUGUUGGACUAGAAUAUCCUGAAGAUGCAAA
rnacentral:rRNA from 1 species